rnacentral:rRNA from 1 species
GACGAACGCUGGCGGCGUGCUUAACACAUGCAAGUCGAACGGAAAGGCCCUGCUUUUGUGGGGUGCUCGAGUGGCGAACGGGUGAGUACACGUGAGUAACCUGCCCUUGCCUUUGGGAUAACUUCAGGAAACUGGGGCUAAUACCGGUUAGGAGCUCCUGCUGCCUGGUGGGGGUUGGAAAGUUUCGGCGGUUGGGGAUGGACUCGCGGCUUAUCAGCUUGUUUGGGGGGUAGUGGCUUACCAAGGCUUUGCCGGGUAGCCGGCCUGAGAGGGGGACCGGCCACAUUGGGACUGAGAUACGGCCCAGACUCCUACGGGAGGCAGCAGGGGGGAAUAUUGCACAAUGGGCGGAAGCCUGAUGCAGAAACGCCGCGUGCGGGAUGACGGCCUUCGGGUUGUAAACCGCUUUCGCCUGUGACGAAGCGUGAGUGACGGUAAUGGGUAAAGAAGCACCGGCUAACUACGUG